UAGGGAAUCUUCGGCAAUGGGGGCAACCCUGACCGAGCAACGCCGCGUGAGUGAAGAAGGUUUUCGGAUCGUAAAGCUCUGUUGUAAGAGAAGAACGUGUGUGAGAGUGGAAAGUUCACACAGUGACGGUAACUUACCAGAAAGGGACGGCUAACUACGUGCCAGCAGCCGCGGUAGUACGUAGGUCCCGAGCGUUGUCCGGAUUUAUUGGGCGUAAAGCGAGCGCAGGCGGUUUAAUAAGUCUGAAGUUAAAGGCAGUGGCUUAACCAUUGUUCGCUUUGGAAACUGUUAAACUUGAGUGCAGAAGGGGAGAGUGGAAUUCCAUGUGUAGCGGUGAAAUGCGUAGAUAUAUGGAGGAACACCGGUGGCGAAAGCGGCUCUCUGGUCUGUAACUGACGCUGAGGCUCGAAAGCGUGGGGAGCAAACAGG
rnacentral:rRNA from 1 species